CAUUUAGCAAUAAAAUUAUUUAAAAUGCUAGCGUUUUUGGGGUAGGAAAGCUGUUACUAAAAAGCUACUAAAUGUUUUUCAUCGGAAACAAAAUUUAAUCACACAUGAAGAGUAAAAAAUAAGGACUGUCUUACACAAGCUAUCAAAGAUUCAAGAAAUUUGGUGCACGCGUCGGCCAACGCGAGAUCUCCAAAACCUCGAUUUCCGUCCCAUUUCGGUUAGUUCAAACGCGAUUUCUUUCCAUGAUUUCAAAUUAAUUUUAUGCAUGCUCGGAUGUUUGCAUAAAUUACAGUACGAAAUUCGCAAGCCAACUCCCGAAGGUGCUGUCACAAAAUUAUUUACAUGCAGU
rnacentral:lncRNA from 1 species